rnacentral:SRP_RNA from 1 species
GCCAUAUGGCCCGUGCCUGUAGUCCUCACUACUCAAGAGGCCGAGGCAGGAGGAUUGGUUGAGUUCAGGAGUCCUGGGCUGCAGUGCAUGCUGAUCAGGUGUCCACACUAGGUUCAGCAUCAAUUAUAUAGUGACUUCCCUGGGACAAGGGACCACCAGGUUGCCUAAGGAGGGGUGAACCAGCCCAGGUCAGAAAUGGAGCAGGUCAAAACUCCUGUGCUGAUCAGUAGUGGCAUGGUGUCUGUGAACAGCCACUGUGUUUCAGCCUGGGCAACACGAUGAGACCCUGACUCU